rnacentral:rRNA from 1 species
AAAGUGGCGAACGGCUGAGUAACACGUGGGCAACCUGCCCUUUGCACUGGGAUAGCCUCGGGAAACCGAGGUUAAUACCGGAUACUCCAUAUUUGUCGCAUGGCGAAUAUGGGAAAGCUCCGGCGGCAAAGGAUGGGCCCGCGGCCUGUUAGCUAGUUGGUGGGGUAGUGGCCUACCAAGGCAAUGAUGGGUAGCCGGGUUGAGAGACCGACCGGCCAGAUUGGGACUGAGACACGGCCCAGACUCCUACGGGAGGCAGCAGGC